UACGUAGGUGGCAAGCGAUACUCGGAAUCACUAGGCGUAAAGCGCAGGUAGGCGGUUCGGUAAGUCUUUUGUGAAAGCUCCCGGCUCAACUGGGAGAGGCCAAGGGAAACUACCGGACUAGAGUGUGGUAGGGGAUACUGGAAUUCCUGGUGUAGCGGUGAAAUGCGUAGAUAUCAGGAGGAAUACCUAUGGCGAAAGCAGGUAUCUGGGCCAUCACUGACGCUGAGCUGCGAAAAGCUAGGGGGAGCAAACAGG
rnacentral:rRNA from 1 species